rnacentral:rRNA from 1 species
GACGAACGCUGGCGGCGUGCCUAAUACAUGCAAGUAGAACGCUGAAGGAGGAGCUUGCUCUUCUGGAUGAGUUGCGAACGGGUGAGUAACGCGUAGGUAACCUGCCUUGUAGCGGGGGAUAACUAUUGGAAACGAUAGCUAAUACCGCAUAAGAGUAGAUGUUGCAUGACAUUUACUUAAAAGGUGCAAUUGCAUCACUACCAGAUGGACCUGCGUUGUAUUAGCUAGUUGGUGGGGUAACGGCUUACCAAGGCGACGAUACAUAGCCGACCUGAGAGGGUGAUCGGCCACACUGGGACUGAGACACGGCCCAGACGCCUACGGGAGGCAGCAGUAGGGAAUCUUCGGCAAUGGACGGAAGUCUGACCGAGCAACGCCGCGUGAGUGAAGAAGGUUGUCGGAUCGUAAAGCUCUGUUGUAAGAGAAGAACGAGUGUGAGAGUGGAAAGUUCACACUGUGACGGUAUCUUACCAGAAAGGGACGGCUAACUACGUG